GAUGAACGCUGGCGGCGUGCCUAAUACAUGCAAGUCGAGCGAACGGACGAGAAGCUUGCUUCUCUGAUGUUAGCGGCGGACGGGUGAGUAACACGUGGAUAACCUACCUAUAAGACUGGGAUAACUUCGGGAAACCGUAGCUAAUACCGGAUAAUAUUUUGAACCGCAUGGUUCAAAAGUGGAAGACGGUCUUGCUGUCACUUAUAGAUGGAUCCGCGCUGCAUUAGCUAGUUGGUAAGGUAACGGCUUACCAAGGCAACGAUGCAUAGCCGACCUGAGAGGGUGAUCGGACACACUGGAACAGAGACACGGUCCAGACUCCUACGGGAGGAAGCAGUAGGGAAUCUUCCGCAAGGGGCGAAAGCCUGACGGAGCAACGCCGCGUGAGUGAUGAAGGUCUUCGGAUCGUAAAACUCUGUUAUUAGGGAAGAACAUAUGUGUAAGUAACUGUGCACAUCAUGACGGUACCUAAUCAGAAAGCCACGGCUAACUACGUG
rnacentral:rRNA from 1 species